UAUGAUGGAUAUUCUUAUGAUACAGAUUGUUCUGUUUUUGAAUUCAUGAUUUAGUUGAACAAUAAGUUUGGAAUUAGGGGUUGUUGUUGUGUAAUUUGGUAAAUGAUGAACCCAUGAAAAUCCAGCAGCAACUUUAAGAUGAUGAAACACGUGCUCUUCAGGUAUUUUGUCACCAAUAUUGAGUUUCUGAAAUUCUACACUUAACUGUAUUAAAAGUAUUUGGACAAGAAACUUUUCAUUCAAGUUAGCCAACAUGACCUGUGCACAUUUUGACCCGUUAUAAAACCCUUGUAACUUGCAGCUUUAGAAAUUAUAGUUGAUGGUUAAGUUAAAUUAGUUCAGGUGGAAUUGUUGAGUCUUCUAGAUGCAGCGCUUGACACUGAAACAAAGAAGGUAGAGUUGUCGGCUUUAAAUCAUUUGAUGUCAACACAUGUUGCAACAGGCUCAACAAAUAGAGUAUCUGUAUGACCAGUUGAAUGUUUCUUUGCUAGAGGUGAACUUUCUUCGGUGAAUUGAGCAACUAGGGGUGUGAGCAAGUGAGCUGAAUUGCAAGGUGUGCAAUGAAUUGAUCAACAGCAGCUCAACAUUUUUGUGAAUUUUGUUCCACAAAUCGCUAUAAAACUAUGUCAUGCUGAUUAAUCUUGAUAAAUAUUUGUAUUCUUUUCAAAAAAACCUUUU
rnacentral:lncRNA from 1 species